AGAGUUUGAUCCUGGCUCAGAGCGAACGCUGGCGGCGUGCUUAACACAUGCAAGUCGAGUGCGCGCCUGUAGCAAUACAGGUGGCGCACGGCGCACGGGUGCGUAACACGUGGGUAAUCUGCCCUUCGAAGGGGAAUAACUCGCCGAAAGGCGAGCUAAUUCCGCAUAAUAUUCCGAGAACUUCGGUUUUUGGACUCAAAGGCGUAAGUCGUCGGAGGAGGAGCCCGCGCACGAUUAGCUAGUUGGUGAGGUAAUGGCUCACCAAGGCUAUGAUCGUUAGCUGGUCUGAGAGGAUGGCCAGCCACACUGGAACUGAGACACGGUCCAGACUCCUACGGGAGGCAGCAGUGGGGAAUCUUGCACAAUGGGCGAAAGCCUGAUGCAGCGACGCCGCGUGGGGGAUGAAGCUUCUCGGAGUGUAAACCCCUUUCGACCCGGACGAAUGCCCCGCAAGGGGACUGACGGUACGGGUAUAAGAAGCCCCGGCUAACUACGUGCCAGCAGCCGCGGUAAGACGUAGGGGGCCAGCGUUGCUCGGAAUUACUGGGUGUAAAGGGUUCGUAGGCGGUGUGGCAAGUCGGGAGUGAAAUCUCUGGGCUCAACCCAGAGUCUGCUUCCGAAACUGCUGUGCUUGAGUGUGGGAGAGGCGCGUGGAAUUGCAGGUGUAGCGGUGAAAUGCGUAGAUAUCUGCAGGAACACCCGUGGCGAAAGCGGCGCGCUGGACCACUACUGACGCUGAGGAACGAAAGCUAGGGGAGCAAACAGGAUUAGAUACCCUAGUAGUCC
rnacentral:rRNA from 1 species